GGAAGGAAGACUAUCAAUCAAUAUUGUAGUAAUUGUUAUUUUAUUAUAGUAUAUUCAAUAUUGUUAUAAACAUGAUGGUGAUGGACAAAAGCAUCUGCCAAAUACCGUACCUCUAAGAGGAAUAUGUCAGGUCUGUGCCCUGUCCUUGUCCUGUUUCUUAGUUUGUGUCCCUUGUGUUGUCACGUGUUCUUUGUUCCUGUGUUUGUUUACCUUUUCUCCUCGUGUCUGACUCCUCACGCCCUGCCCUUGAUUAUCUGGCGUUCUCGUCAUUUCAUGUUACGCGUUUGUUCAUUGUGUUUUUCCCCGUGUUCCUAGCGAUAGUUAAAUAUUUCAUGUUUAUUAAGUUUCUCGUGUUUCCGACCCUGGACUGUACAUCGACUAUUCUCCUGCCUAUGCCCUGUUUUGGAUUUGUUUGCUUGCUCUCGGACUGCCUACCUGUGUACCGAAUCCUGCUAAGUAACACGAUUACCCUUCACUCUACUGCUGCGUUCUGAGUCGUGCAUUUGAGUUCACCCGCAAUUCGUAACAGAAUAUGGAUCAUGUACAAUAUCUAUUCCACUGUGCACUGUCUAUUUGACAGGAUAAGGAUCAUCUCAUCUCAUCUCAUCUCAUCUCAUCCAGAGGCUGACACCAGAACAGAUCCUGCUCUGGUCUGGUGCUAAUCUGCUGGGUCUGAGGUUCUGUUCACUCCUCUGAGGUUCUGCUCUGAGGUUCUGUUCAUUCCUGUGAGGUUCUUCUCAUUACUCUGAGGUUCUGUUCUGUUCACUCCUCUGAGGUUCUGUUCAUUCCUCUGAGGUUCUGUUCAUUCCUCUGAGGUUCUGUUCUGUUCACUCCUCUGAGGUUCUGUUCAUUCCUCUGAGGUUCUGUUCAUUCCUCUGAGGUUCUGUUCUGCUCAAUGUCAGCUCAUUCCUCUGUCCCAGAGCCUGUGAAGGAGCCCUGUGCUGCUGAUAGUGGGCUGUCUGCUGUCGCUGGGGAGAGCAACGCAAACAAUCACUUUUUUGUCUGCACCCUUCUCUUUUCUUCUCCUCCUCUUCUCUUCUCCUCCGUGAUGCCACUCUGUCUGUUCUUCUCCUCCGUGAUGCCACUCUGUCCAAUCUAAUAUCUCUUCAUCUCCAAGCUCCUCCGUGAUGCCACUCUGUCCAAUCUAAUAUCUCUUCAGCUCCAAGCUCAUGAUUCUAUUCUAUCUGAUGGGCCCAGGUAUUCUUCAGCAUUCCAAAGACACUGAUGUGACGGUACCCACGCGGGGUGGCGUGUCUGUCCUCUCUGAUGUCUUUGGUGAUGUGACGGUACCUGUUGCAGGGGUGACGUGUCUGUCCUCUCUGAUGUCUUUGGCCUGGCCUGUGUGAGAUGUGACCUGUGAAGUGUGACCUCAGAACAGCUAACAGCUAAGCUAACUUGGGGGCGAGGCACACCACGCUGCCCAGGAGGACAGGCCCAGAUGGAGGCAGGUAGUUGCGGCCUCAUGUUCCACUGGGGACGAAGAGGUUUAAGUAAGAAGGGGUCUGAGUGGUGCUGGGGACUGGACAGAGCUGGUCUCCUCUCCAUCACUCUCAUUAGGUCAGCAGUGACAAGAUGCUUGCAGUGGUGGCAGAGUGGAAGACAUGAAGGGUUGCCAAACAGUCAACACAAUGACCUACGUGAACUAAAUGCUUUUCGUCACACAUGGUGAUCUUUGGAGCAGUCCAGCCUUGGAUAGUUGGACUCUAGGCUGGGGGGUGCUGCACAGAGUCAGAGACUAACUGGGCUUGGCUGUGGGCUUUCUAGAACCUUCUGACCGGUCUGAACCGGAUGAGUCUCACUGAGGAAGUCUUUCCCAGGUGAUUGUGCCUGGAGAGAGAGCGUCCAGGAUCUACUCACACAUCUUACAUAAAUAAUUACUCACGUCAGUAGUCAUGUACUCUUUGAAACAUGUGAACACGCAAACACACACACACACACACACACAGGUGAAACAAGAUUGAUGCAUCACCUGCACAAAAUAAUGACAAGAACAUAUGGUGUCAGCUGUGCUGGCAGCGGUUUGACAGAAGCCCAAUUCAAGGCCUCUUACCUGAUUAAAACAGUUUGUUUUAUGGAUGCAUCAGUCAAAGUCCUGCGACACACCGGUGCUGGACCUUAGUGUCAGAACCAGGUAAGUGCUGCAGAAUAAUCCAUCCUGUGUGAAAGACUGAAACAGCAAAACUGCCAUCUCUGACAAAAACAUAUUCAAGCCUGUC
ensembl:lncRNA